GAUGAACGCUGGCGGCGUGCCUAAUACAUGCAAGUCGAGCGAACGGACGAGAAGCUUGCUUCUGUGAUGUUAGCGGCGGACGGGGGAGUAACACGUGGAUAACCUACCUAUAAGACGGGGAUAACUGCGGGAAACCGGAGCUAAUACCGGAUAAUAUUUUGAACCGGAUGGUUCAAGAGUGAAAGACGGGCUUGCUGUCACUUAUAGAUGGAUCCGCGCUGCAUUAGCUAGUUGGGAAGGUAACGGCUUACCAAGGCAACGAUGCAUAGCCGACCUGAGAGGGUGAUAGGCCACACUGGAACUGAGACACGGUCCAGACUCCUACGGGAGGCAGCAGUAGGGAAUCUUCCGCAGUGGGCGAAAGCCUGACGGAGCAACGCCGCGUGAGUGAUGAAGGUCUUCGGAUCGUAAAACUCUGUUAUUAGGGAAGAACAUAUGUGUAAGUAACUGUGCACAUCUUGACGGUACCUAAUCAGAAAGCCACGGCUAACUACGUG
rnacentral:rRNA from 1 species